CUUCGGUGUGAGUAAAGCGGCGGACGGGUGAGUAACGCGUAGGAAUCUACCUAGUAGUGGGGGACAACUCGGGGAAACUCGAGCUAAUACCGCAUACGCCCUACGGGGGAAAGUGGGGGACCUUCGGGCCUCGUGCUAUUAGAUGAGCCUGCGUUGGAUUAGCUAGUUGGUGGGGUAAAGGCCUACCAAGGCGACGAUCCAUAGCUGGUCUGAGAGGAUGAUCAGCCACACCGGGACUGAGACACGGCCCGGACUCCUACGGGAGGCAGCAGUGGGGAAUAUUGCGCAAUGGGCGAAAGCCUGACGCAGCCAUGCCGCGUGUGUGAAGAAGGCCUUCGGGUUGUAAAGCACUUUCAAUUGGGAGGAAAGGUUCACGGUUAAUAACCGUGAGCUGUGACGUUACCUUUAGAAGAAGCACCGGCUAACUCCGUGCCAGCAGCCGCGGUAAU
rnacentral:rRNA from 1 species